rfam:Triticum urartu cultivar G1812 contig866819, whole genome shotgun sequence.
UACAUACUCCAUCCGUUCCGAAUUACUUGUCUUAGAUUUGUUUAGAUACGGAGAUAUCUAGCACUAAAAUGAGUCUAGAUACAUCCGUAUCUAAAACAAAUCCAAAACAAGUAAUUCGGAACGGACGGAAUAUCUG